rnacentral:rRNA from 1 species
UCCGUAGGGGGCGAGCGUUGUCCGGAGUUACUGGGCGUAAAGCGCACGCAGGCGGUCUGCUAAGUUUGGAGUGACAGUUGGUGGCUUAACUGCCAAAGUGCUUCGAAAACUGACAGACUUGAGGGCUUCAGAGGGACACGGAAUUCCGGGUGGAGUGGUGAAAUGCGUAGAGAUCCGGAGGAACACCAAAGGCGAAAGCACUCUGCGGGGCCGACACUGACACUGAGAGACGAAAGCUAGGGGAGCGAAUGGG